GACGAACGCUGGCGGCGUGCUUAACACAUGCAAGUCGAACGGAAAGGCCCUGCUUUUGUGGGGUGCUCGAGUGGCGAACGGGUGAGUAACACGUGAGUAACCUGCCCUUGACUUUGGGAUAACUUCAGGAAACUGGGGCUAAUACCGGAUAGGAGCUCCUGCUGCAUGGUGGGGGUUGGAACGUUUAGGCGGUUGGGGAUGGAUUCGCGGCUUAUCAGCUUGUUGGUGGGGUAGUGGCUUACCAAGGCUUUGAAGGGUAGCCGGCCUGAGAGGGUGACCGGCCACAAUGGGACUGAGAGACGGCCCAGACUCGUACGUGGGGCAGCAGUGGGGAAUAUUGCACAAUGGGCGGAAGCCUGAUGCAGCAACGCCGCGUGCGGAAUGACGGCCUUCGGGUUGUGAACCGCUUUCGCCUGUGACGAAGCGUGAGUGACGGUAAUGGGUAAAGAAGCACCGGCUAACUACGUG
rnacentral:rRNA from 1 species